rnacentral:piRNA from 1 species
CACCAAACAUGGGUAGUAGGUGACUUUGA